rnacentral:rRNA from 1 species
GUAGGGAAUAUUGGGCAAUGGUCGGAAGACUGACCCAGCCAUGCCGCGUGCAGGAAGACGGCCCUCUGGGUUGUAAACUGCUUUUAUCUGGGAAGAAAAAGGCCAUGCGUGGCAAAUUGCCGGUACCAGAUGAAUAAGCACCGGCUAACUCCGUGCCAGCAGCCGCGGUAAGACGGAGGGUGCGAGCGUUGUCCGGAUUUAUUGGGUUUAAAGGGUGCGUAGGCGGCUGAUUAAGUCAGCGGUGAAAGACUGCGGCUUAACCGGAGCAGUGCCGUUGAUACUGGUUGGCUUGAGUGUCGGAGGGGUACAUGGAAUUGAUGGUGUAGCGGUGAAAUGCAUAGAUACCAUCAGGAACACCGAUAGCGAAGGCAUUGUACUGGCCGACAACUGACGCUGAUGCACGAAAGUGUGGGGAUCGAACAGGAUUAGAAACCCCAGUAGUCC